AACAAAACACUGACCUUGGUCCACAGACAACACCCACGUCCACGUGGUGGGUGGGACUGGCUCCGUCAGAGGAUGGGAAGAUGAGAAGUGCUUGUCGCAGGCCUGGAGAUGGGGACCACCCAGGCAUGCAGGGGAUGCUGCCUCUCCUCCAUCCAACAACAAGCCUGCGUGUGCCCAGCCCCCUCUGGUACACGCAUUGCUCCCCAUCCUCGGCAUUGAUCAAUUGAAAAUAAGACCUUGGAAGAACCCCUUGCAAAGCUGACAUUGUACGAGCCAAGUGGCCCCGGAGAGGGUCAGCGAGGGGCCUCCACUGUCUGAGUCCGCUCCUGGCAACGCCUGCUCUCUGCACUCAGAGGCCCGGUCCCGGCAGCUGCCACGUUGCUCAGAAGUUCUGGCAGGGGGAGCCUGAAACCCCUGUCUGCUGGCGACACUCCCGGAGCAGCAGGAAAUCUCUACAUUUUAUUUUUUUUCUUAACAGACAAAAGUAUUUGACUCCAGAAUGAUUUCCAGGAAUUACAGUAUGAGAACUUAGUCUUUGAGAUUUUUAUUUUCUUCUUAAAAAAAUAAAAAUGAAAUCAAAGCAGAAGACACUGGUUGAGCAGACAGCACACUAGCACAUUCCACUUCGCAACAAAACCUGCGUGUUUUCUGCCCGGUCUACCUCAGACAGGGAUGGUGGGCUUCAUAGCCUUUCCUGUGGAAGGAGUUCAGGGCGGGAGGGAAGUGCUGGGGUAGGAGGGGCAGGCAGAACCUGGAAACUGCGCCCCAUUCUUUCUUCUCGGAACUCCAUUGCCAGAGGGCUUGGAGUGCUUCUCGGCGAUUUGGCAUCUGCUUCUCCUCUGCCCCUCAUUCAGAGUUCUCAUUGCAAGAAAAGCAGG
rnacentral:lncRNA from 1 species